rnacentral:rRNA from 1 species
GAUGAACGCUGGCGGCGUGCCUAAUACAUGCAAGUCGAGCGGCAGCACGGUCUUCGGACUGGUGGCGAGCGGCGGACGGCAGAGUAACGCGUAGGAACAUGCCACAAAGUGAGGAAUAACUGCCCGAAAGGGUGGCUAAUGCCGCAUAUGCUCUUCGGAGUAAAGCUUUAUGCGCUUUGGGAGUGGCCUGCGUCUGAUUAGCUUGUUGGUGAGGUAAUGGCUCACCAAGGCGACGAUCGGUAGCUGGUCUGAGAGGAUGAACAGCCUGACUGGAACUGAGUACGGUCCAGACUCCUACGGGAGGCAGCAGUAGGGAAUUUUCCACAAUGGGCGAAAGCCUGAUGGAGCAACGCCGCGUGCAGGAUGAAUGCCUUCGGGUUGUAAACUGCUUUUAUGUGCGAAGAAUUUGACGGUAACACAUGAAUAAGGAUCGGCUAACUACGUGCCAGCAGCCGCGGUAAUAC